ACCGAGACAUCCUUCCGAAUCUGACAAAUUUAGUGGUGAAGAAUUCCUCUGGAUUGGUACAUCUAGUAACGACUUCAGCAGUCACAAAUUUGGUACAUCUCACUUAUAUGACUAUAAUAGGAUGUGAAAGAAUGAAAGAAGUAGUGGCCGACGAUGGAAACAGAGAAGGAAAAGUGAUUUCUUUUGAAAAGCUAGAAUGGUUGACACUUGAACAUCUGCCAAACUUAGAAUGCUUCUCUUCCAUCCCAAGUUGCAUCUUUAGGUUCCCAUCCUUAUGGAAUAUUGAAGUGGAAGAGUGUCCAAAAAUGAAGACCUUUUCUAAGGGUACACUAAGCACACCAAAACUAUCUUAUGUGUCACUGUUCAGAUACAAGUGGGAAGGGAAUUGGGAGAAGGGUGAUGAUCUCAAUACAACCAUACAGAAGUUAGCAGCAUAAAUCAAUGCACAUAGAAUUGUAGGAAGCAAAGCGGGUCUCUCCUUCUCCUUCUCCUUCUUGACGCCAAAGGCUCUUUCUCCAUCUUUCUUCUUCUUCUUCCUCCUCCGUGGAGCGAAAUUGGGGGAAGCCUCUGCUGCCUUCACAAAGGACGGAGCAAAAAUGAAGCAUCAGGAAUUGCCAGGACUGCGAGAAGCGAAGCUGCAAUUAGCGGAGCGGAGCCAAGUAGAUUCAACCAGACGCUGUCGUUGUCGCCGUCGUCACCGCCGGAGGUGGCACAACCGAGUCUGGACAGUUAGUCGUCCACUCACUUCAUCAAAGAAGAAGAAGAUCACACUCUCUCUCCGCAUCUGUAUCCGACAAAUCGCUGGUCCAAACAUUCGAGCAGAUUGAGGCAUCCUGAGCUGGUUUUUAUGGUCCCAUGCGCCCAAGGCCUCUCACUGCUUUUACAUCGGCCAACAAAUUUCAAAUGGAGCAUCCCUUUUCCAAAGGUGGUGAUGAGGCCUUCUUAUGUUAAGUUUGGCUUGGCAACAUAAUCUGGAAAAAAAGUAAAUUGCAACUCUCAGGUAUUCAGACAAGUCAUGGACGUUGAAACUCAGGAGCCAUGGACGUGGACACAGGGGGCCUUUUUUUCUGCUGGUUGGCCCACAUUUGCUAGAGAAGCUCAUCUGCAUGUAGGAGAUGUUUGUAUUUUUGAGCUAAUUGAUAGUGAGGAUGUGUGUUCAGAGUCUACAUUUCCACUAGAGCUGGUCAGAACAGACAAGUCUGAAUAUCCAGUGAGCCCUCCUAAGAAAUUUUUUCAUGAUUCCAAGUGUUCGAGGCCUCUCACUGCCCUUGAGAAAGCUAGAGAAUUCAAAUUGGAGUAUCCCUUUUCCAGACAGUGAUGUGGCCAUCUUUUCUUAAGAAAGAAGUGGUGGCUGCCUAGGCUUGGGAAGAAGAGGUGACACGAAAUGUCCAGCUUAAGCCAUAGCUACUGCAACAGGCCUAGGCUUGGCAUGACUGAGCUCACUGCAACAGCAUGGCAACACUAGUCAGAUAUUGCUCCCUGGCAACAAAUGGUUUACAAGAGCUACCAUUGCAAGCAGGUUCAAACUUGCAAUCGAAAAUGAAGGGAAGGCAAUGUGGCCUAGACCUCAAAAAUUAGUGCCACCAACUCGAUGGUAUGAAAAGAAGAAAAGAAGCUCACUUCUUUUUGGCCAGGCAAAAGAAGAUCACUUACUUUCUGUGCAUGUGUGUCCAUUUAGGUCCCUAUGUGUAGCUUUUCAUGUUUAUUCAAUGCAUAUCGCAAUGUAAGAUUGGUGACUCAGGUAUUCACCAGAUUCAACUUGUCUCUAUAUUGAUUACACGUACUUAGUGUAGAAUCUAAGAGCACAGGAUUGUGAUAUUUUGAUUUCAGAUUGCAAGUUGUGAUUAAAGGCCAUCUCAUCAUGUCUUUUAGACUGCUAAUAUGGACUUUGGAAACUAACAACUACUAGCAUAAAUGUACGUUUUGUUUGCCUUUUCGCUUUAGUGUAUGCUUACAUUCCUAUGUCUUAUCAUAUAUUGGCUGGUCAAAUGUCUUCA